GGAGCAGGCGGCCGCAAGGGUCUGUGGUGAAAGACCGAAGCUAAACUUCGGUAAGCCAUGGAAACCGGGCGGCUAGAGUGCGGAAGAGGAUCGUGGAAUUCCAUGUGUAGCGGUGAAAUGCGUAGAUAUAUGGAGGAACACCAGUGGCGAAGGCGACGGUCUGGGCCGCAACUGACGCUCAUUCCCGAAAGCGUGGGGAGCAAAUA
rnacentral:rRNA from 1 species